rfam:Flavobacteriaceae bacterium TMED42 16321, whole genome shotgun sequence.
ACUCAACGAGCUUUAAUUUAGAAGAGGUGAGUUAUGAUUGUAAAAGCAAGCUGCCUUGAGCAGAUCCUUGAUCAGUUGUGUAGCCUCAAACCUGUUUAUUUAGGAGUUU